GACGAACGCUGGCGGCGUGCCUAAUACAUGCAAGUAGAACGCUGAAGAGAGGAGCUUGCUCUUCUUGGAUGAGUUGCGCACGGGUGAGUAACGCGUAGGUAACCUGCCUUGUAGCGGGGGAUAACUAUUGGAAACGAUAGCUAAUACCGCAUAACAAUGGAUGACACAUGUCAUUUAUUUGAAAGGGGCAAUUGCUCCACUACAAGAUGGACCUGCGUUGUAUUAGCUAGUAGGUGAGGUAAUGGCUCACCUAGGCGACGAUACAUAGCCGACCUGAGAGGGUGAUCGGCCACACUGGGACUGAGACACGGCCCAGACGCCUACGGGAGGCAGCAGGAGGGAAACUUCGGCAAGGGGGGCAACCCUGACCGAGCAACGCCGCGGGAGGGAAGAAGGUUUUCGGAUCGGAAAGCUCUGUUGUAAGUCAAGAACGGGUGUGAGAGUGGAAAGUUCACACUGUGACGGUAGCUUACCAGAAAGGGACGGCUAACUACGUG
rnacentral:rRNA from 1 species